UACGUAGGGUGCAAGCGUUGUCCGGAAUUAUUGGGCGUAAAGAGCUCGUAGGCGGUCUGUCGCGUCGGCUGUGAAAACCCGGAGCUCAACUCCGGGCCUGCAGUCGAUACGGGCGGACUAGAGUUCGGCAGGGGAGACUGGAAUUCCUGGUGUAGCGGUGAAAUGCGCAGAUAUCAGGAGGAACACCGGUGGCGAAGGCGGGUCUCUGGGCCGAUACUGACGCUGAGGAGCGAAAGCGUGGGGAGCGAACAGGG
rnacentral:rRNA from 1 species